rnacentral:rRNA from 1 species
UACAGAGGUCUCAAGCGUUGUUCGGAUUCAUUGGGCGUAAAGGGUGCGUAGGUGGCGGGGUAAGUCAGGUGUGAAAUCUCGAGGCUCAACCUCGAGACUGCACUUGAUACUGCCUUGCUCGAGUACUGGAGAGGAGAUUGGAAUUUACGGUGUAGCAGUGAAAUGCGUAGAUAUCGUAAGGAAGACCAGUGGCGAAGGCGAAUCUCUGGACAGUUACUGACACUGAGGCACGAAGGCCAGGGGAGCAAACGGG